rnacentral:misc_RNA from 1 species
GUGAAUCAUCGAAUCUUUGAGCGCAAAUCGCACUCUCCUCGGAGAGUAUGCCUGUUUGAGGGUCAGCCUAAAUAAAACCGCCUUAGUAGCUGCUGUGUUCCACGGUACCGUUGGUCGGAACUUGGGUCUUCUUAAACCGAAAGGUCUAAGCGACUUAAAAAUUUUUUUACGAUCUAACGAACGUUUUUAAGAUUUCCUUAAAGGUUCCCUGUUAUGUUAUUUUUU